rnacentral:rRNA from 1 species
GUGGGGAAUAUUGGACAAUGGGCGAAAGCCUGAUCCAGCCAUGCCGCGUGUGUGAAGAAGGUCUUCGGAUUGUAAAGCACUUUAAGUUGGGAGGAAGGGCAGUAAGUUAAUACCUUGCUGUUUUGACGUUACCGACAGAAUAAGCACCGGCUAACUUCGUGCCAGCAGCCGCGGUAAUACGAAGGGUGCAAGCGUUAAUCGGAAUUACUGGGCGUAAAGCGCGCGUAGGUGGUUUUGUAAGUUGGAGGUGAAAUCCCCGGGCUCAACCUGGGAACUGCCUCCAAAACUACUGAGCUAGAGUACGGUAGAGGGUAGUGGAAUUUCCUGUGUAGCGGUGAAAUGCGUAGAUAUAGGAAGGAACACCAGUGGCGAAGGCGACUACCUGGACUGAUACUGACACUGAGGUGCGAAAGCGUGGGGAGCAAACAGGAUUAGAAACCCCUGUAGUCC